UGUUUCUGUGUCCUGUGAAGGGUCCAGGUGAAGCCUUGAGAUUUAAGAAGAUGAACGGAGUUCACACAGGAACCUAGAAA